rnacentral:rRNA from 1 species
UACGAAGGGUGCAAGCGUUGUCCGGAUUUAUUGGGCGUAAAGAGCGUGUAGGCGGCUAGAUAGGUCCGUUGUGAAAACUCGAGGCUCAACCUCGAGACGUCGAUGGAAACCAUCUGGCUAGAGUCCGGAAGAGGAGAGUGGAAUUCCUGGUGUAGCGGUGAAAUGACGCAGAUAUCAGGAGGAACACCGGUGGCGAAGGCGGGUCUCUGGGCCGAUACUGACGCUGAGGAGCGAAAGCGUGGGGAGCGAACAGG